CCAAGGCCCCCAUUUGAACUUCCAGGCUUGGUUUUGCAAGUUCAACACCUGCCAACACAGAACAAAUCAUAGCAGCAAUAAAACAAACACUUGGUGUGUGAAACAUCAUUGCCUAAAUCACAGAAAAAAACUGGUUCUGAUAUUUUUGAUAAAAAUGAAGGAUUUAUAAGCACAACCCAAUUUCAUAUUCGUGAACCUCCACGCAUAUCAAGUCUUCAGAAGUGUCCAAAAGGGUCAACACCCAUCAAAGAAAUGAAGAAUCUAACAAAUAUAUCAACUCUUGACUAAGAGCAGAAAACCUAACUAGUGAAGAUAGCAAUUGACCACAUUCUUUGGAUAAAGGUGAUAGCAAUAGUGUUCAAUAUAUUAAAAUAAAUAAAAAAACCUAGGACUAUAAGAUCCAAAACCUGGCCACAUACACCUACCAUGUCAAAACCAAUCAAGUCUCAAUCAAUCCUAAUCUAUGCCAACACAGAACAAAUCAUAGCAGCAAUAAAACAAACACUUGGUGUGUGAAACAUCAUUGCCUAAAUAACAUAAAAAAACUGGUUCUGAUAUUUUUGACAAAAAUGAAGGAUUUAUAAGCACAACCCAAUAACAUAUUCGUGAACCUCCACGCAUAUCAAGUCUUAAG
rnacentral:lncRNA from 1 species